rnacentral:lncRNA from 1 species
CCGGGAGGAGGUGGCCGACGGAACAGGUGGAGCCGAGGCGGGGCUGGGCGGGGCGGAGAGUGAAACAACAUAGGCUCCGCCCCUCGCGGCGCUUCCCCCGGAAUAGCGUCAUCAGUUCUAUAAGAGAGCGUGUGCCGAAGGCCUCAGCCUUUCAUGUUCGGGAAGCGUCGGGGUUAGGUGAAAGUACCUAGUUGUCUUUCGUACGUUAAAAUGAUAAUUGGGCUGAAACUUACUGCCUUACCUAAAAGGCAGCGCAGUCAGGAUAUUGGUAGGUCGGGGGGCAGCUUUGGAAACCCGUAAGUUUACAAGCAUGCGCGGACUUGAGUGCUCAUUAGGUCGCGGGGCGGCCACGUGCAGCCCUGGACCCUGAAUCCCGGCGUGCGUGGGCCGUGGGCCCUCGGGGAAAGGUUCCGUGCGCCCGGGGACUCCGGUGAAGCCUGUUUCGCUGUCGGUGUCAUGUGGCCAUCUUGAGUCUAUUCUGUCGCUCUUGUGCCAUAGCACCCCAAGAACCGUCAGUUUGAGCCAGAUGGAAGCUGAGCUGAACACAUUACGAUGGAUGAUGGAAACAUAAGACUAUCAAGAAAUCCGAAGUGGUAAUGGGCAAAGUCUGUUCAGCAUUCGGCAAUGGAUUUAUCUUAGUUGGGGAAACGGUGUUCCAAAUAAUGUUCUGGAAGUUAUCAGGAUACCUAUUUUGAAUAUAGGACUGAAUUUUUUAAAGUAAUAUUUAAGGUGGUCCUUGAUAAUUAAAUAAAAUGCUUAAUUCAUGUGGCU